AGAAACUUAGGAUAACCCCCCAAACCGAAGGCCUUCAAAGCCUUAAAUAAGAGUUGAACCCUCUUAGUUUCUG
rnacentral:tRNA from 1 species